UACACGGUCCUCACCCUGCCCGGUCCAAUGUCCACCCGCAGCUUCCUCUCCCGUCUCUGACAGAACUGGUCAGACCAGAAGGCGAGACCAUCCCGGUGUCAGAGGCGGAUACUCCCCAGGCCCCCGGGCGUCAAGUCCAACCCAGGGCGGCUUCGGGCCUUCUCGCCGCCCCCUCCCCCCCCCCCCCCACCGCGUGCUCCCGCCCCCCAGUCACGCCCCAGCGUCCACCGCGCCGCGCCUCUGGCCUCUCUCCCUCUCUUCCGCCCGGGCCCCGCAUGCUGGCCGGGGCUCCCCAGGGUUCCGACGCCCUGCCCUCUAGCGACACGCUCUACCUGAGCAAGCUCUUCUGUUCCCACCCGUCGAGCCAUCCUUUUCCCCUCACGGCCCCCGAUCUGCAGCUCCGGCCCAAAAGUCCAGACAGACGCCCACGUCCGACCGCCUUCCGGACGCCUCCGCCGGGUCACCACACGGUCCCUGCGAAUCACCUCCUGCCUUCCCCGAGACCGCUCCGGUCCUCGGGUUUCCCGCAUCGGGAAACGGUGCCACCGCGCACACAGCCGCUCAAGCCAGAAAGUCCUUUUCUUCCCACACCCGAGCCCCUCCUGACCCCACCGCACAUACUCGGCGCCCAAGACCUGACGACACCAGGCCCUCGGCAUCUCCUGAACCCCCCUCCCUCACCAUCCCCCCGACAAUGGCCACCUCCGGUAAGGCCACCACCCUCUUCCGCCUAGAUCGCUAACGGCAACGGGGCUGGUCCCCCCUCCCCUCAUCCUCCGUGAGGCUGCCGCGGUGCCGGACAUGUCUUCCGGAAGACGAGGUUACGCUUCCGCCUGGAAUCCCUCCGAGACUCGUCAGGUGGCCAGCGGGGUCUCCCGGCCCCAACCGCCGCCCCUCCCCAGCUCACCCUUCCACCGCGUUCCAGUCACGCUGUGCUCAUUCAGCCACAGCGGACAACCUGUAGUGUGAGCCUAAAAGUGUGAACUGAGGGUGAGUGCAUACUAGAGCGCAUCCAGCGACAUAUCUAAUAUAAUCCAGGGUGAGGCCUCCAAAACCACAAGUGCCCCAAGUCCGCGGCAGCCUGAGGGUGAAGAAGGGAGAAAGAUAAUAAAGCCCAAGGACGUGUCAGGGCGGGGAACGCGUCACAGGUCCCUCCUGGCUCCUGACUUGGUGACGGGGAAAAGCACGCUGUGUGCCCCCCCCCCCCCCAUGCGGCCCCUCACACUCACAGAAAGUCUGCAGCAGGCCCCAUCCCACACGCAGUCAAACACAGGCUGAGCCACCAAGUCACCGACCUCAGGUGGCAUCACCUGACUGGGGAAGGGGCUAGAGUCAUUUGUGGACCCGGCCCACUCAUGCCCUCCGGACGCCACCUUCUCCCUUCUGCACAGUGUGGGGUGGAGGUGGGCCAGACGGCAAGGUCUCCACGGGUCCGAUUUGCUACCGCUCUUAAUGUGGAAAGGGGUUAUGACCUGUGGUCACCCAAAUCUCCACAAAGUCCCUGUCACCCACGAUUAAACACAUUCAGCAGAUGUGGCUUCUGCCUCACGAAUGGAAGCUUUCUAGACCGGCCGCCCAGGCAGUCACGUUCAACAAAGACUCACUUCAAGGCACUGAAGAACAAGCACUCAUUGAUCUGCCACCGUGUGCACCCAGCAAAGAGCCCCAGCUACGCCGCAACACGAGAAACCGCGUGCCGGGGACUGGAGCGGCGUUAUUCCAACAGAAUCUCGGAAUGCCCUCGCACAAGCCGUGUUCUACACGCGCACGCACACGCUCCUGCCAGUCUGCGGCUCCUCGCACGUCCCGCUGGCGGUCAGGGCCGGAGGGCACGUGAGGACACAUCAGCUCAUGGCCACCGCCGCCUCCCCGUUCUCUUCGGGGCGUCCUCACACCCGAGCCGCGGGACCCAACGAGCGACAGAUGGCCAAAGACGCGAGAGACAGCGCGCGACGAAGUUCCAGGAAACGGGGCCGUCGAUUCAGGCCCCUUCAUCUCGCCUCCGCCCCCCGAGACCCUGAGAGUGCGGCCCCUCUCCCCCGGGGCCACCGCAGCCGGCCCUCCAGCUACAUCCAACACUUCCCGAAAACUCCGUCUCUUCUUCCUUGAGCUGCAAGUUUUCCAACUCAAGAGACACACGUGACCCCCAGAAAGGAAAAGACACGUAGGCCCAGAUGAACGCCAGAAAGAGUCUUCUGGCAAAAGCAGAAGGAAAAAACAUAGAAUGGGUCUUGUCCUUUGUUCAGGCAAGAAAAUGGGAGCAUUGAACGAGGACGGACAAGAUAGGGAGAGCGAGGAAGAGCCACGCAGGCCGCUGAGAGCGGUUACGAGGCCUCCGAGGUCUGUAAAGCAGGUUCCCAAGAUCCAACAAAGGGCAUUAUUAACAACACGCAUGAGUCAGAGUGGCCUCAGGUCAAGCACUUCGGCGGCUUUCAACCCUUCCACUUUGAGGCAGCCCCUUCCAGAAGGAGGACUUCCUGUGGCACAAAGGGCCUCUGUGGGCCGCUCCCCGCUGCCUCCUUUCCCCGCGCAGAGCGGGGCACUCGGUCUUCCCUCCCUCCAAGUCAGCCCGAGUGCAGCACCUGUCCCCUACAGGGGCUGCGGCCCCGGCUGAAGGGCGAAAGUCACCCACCUGGAAACUAAGGAUGGCGAGAGAGAAGCACAUGGCAUCCCUGGAAGCAUAAAUCUAGAAGGUUCCCGAAACGUGCAUCUAGGAUUCUUCACAAGACGCGCCGGCGUGACCUCUUCGUGGCCCAGUCACCUCGGGCAAAAUACUUAAGAGCAUGGACUAUCUGAGUGCCAAGAAACCUUGCUGGGGGCUGGGAGAAGGGAGCAAAGCGAGUCCGUAAUCAGACCAGCCCUGCAGUCCAGGAGCUCGUAGUGCAGCCGGAAAGAGAAGACAAGGUCACACCUGAUUCGGGGACACAGAGGAGAGAAGACGGAGGCCAGAGGACGGCGGAGGGGUGGGCGGGAGAGCAAUUUGGAAGAGGAAGGGGGAGGCCCGCGGCCAGCCACAAGAACGCAAGUUCCUGAAGAACGAGAACUGGGUCUACUUCACCCCUGCAUCCUUAGCACUAAUGCACAACAGGAGCAAAAAUAAACACGUCUGGAACGAACGAGUCAAGGAAUGUGCUAGGCUCUGGCACAAACACAGAGUAUGACAGGACAGGCUUCUGUUUUCAGCAGCAAGGCAAACCAGAUAUCUUAAUGAGUUUCCCACUGAAAAAACUGAAAAGCUGAAUAAAAUAGAACUGCAUCACUUUAUUACACUCCAAAAUAUAAUAAAGGAACCCAAAGACACGAAAAAGGCAAAUCUGAAGAAGAAAUAUAAGGAGGGGGCGCCUGGGUGGCUCAGUCGGUUAAGCGUCUGACUUCGGCUCAGGUCAUGAUCUCACGGUCCGUGAGCUCGAGCCCCACAUUGGACUCGGUGCCGACUGCUCAGAGCCUGGAGCCUGCUUCGAUUCUGUGUCUCCCUCUCCCCCCACAAAAUGAACAUUAAAAAAGAAAAGAAAAGGGAAGGGAAGAAGGGAAGAAAAGAGAGAGAAGUAGAUAAGUCACCUUUCCUUCUGAGGUAAUAAAGAGAGACAAAGAAAAAAAAUAUAAAACAAAGAUUAAAGACUUGGAAAAAACAGUGAAGCCUAACUUAACAUCUAAGAAAGUUCCAGAAGGAGACUUUUUUUAAGUUUACUUAUUUAUUUUUUUUUUAUUUUUUUUUCAACGUUUAUUUAUUUUUGGGACAGAGAGAGACAGAGCAUGAA